rnacentral:rRNA from 1 species
AUCUCAGUUCGGAUUGCAGGCUGCAACUCGCCUGCAUGAAGCUGGAAUUGCUAGUAAUCGCGAAUCAGAAUGUCGCGGUGAAUACGUUCCCGGGUCUUGUACACACCGCCCGUCACACCAUGGGAGUUGGUAACGCCCGAAGUCAGUGACCCAACCAAACGGAGGGAGCUGCCGAAGGCGGGACCGGUAACUGGGGUGAAGUCGUAACAAGGUAGC